ACUGUGGAGUAUACAAGAACUUGUGAGUAGUAUCUGGAUGUAUCCAGUACAAAAGCAUAUACGGUGAAGCAGUAA
ncrna:unclassified sequences RAGATH-18 RNA